rnacentral:rRNA from 1 species
UUGAACGCUGGCGGCAUGCUUUACACAUGCAAGUCGAACGGUAACAGGCCUUCGGGUGCUGACGAGUGGCGAACGGGUGAGUAAUGCAUCGGAACGUACCCAGAGGUGGGGGAUAACGCAGCGAAAGCUGUGCUAAUACCGCAUGUGAUCUGAGGAUGAAAGCGGGGGACCGAGCAGCAAUGUUUGGCCUCGCGCCUUUGGAGCGGCCGAUGUCGGAUUAGCUAGUUGGUGGGGUAAAGGCCUACCAAGGCGACGAUCCGUAGCUGGUCUGAGAGGACGACCAGCCACACUGGGACUGAGACACGGCCCAGACUCCUACGGGAGGCAGCAGUGGGGAAUUUUGGGCAAUGGGCGCAAGCCUGAUCCAGCAAUGCCGCGUGCGGGAAGAAGGCCUUCGGGUUGUAAACCGCUUUUGGCAGGAACGAAACGGUGUCCGCUAAUACCGGGCGCUAAUGACGGUACCUGCAGAAUAAGCACCGGCUAACUACGUG